rnacentral:lncRNA from 1 species
UUCAGAAUUCCCAAGUUUUUCUCCAUCUCUCACUUCUCUCCCCUUUCUCGCACAUCAUCGUUGAGAUAUCGCUGGCACCAUGCUGCUCACGACGUUGACACCGCACCACAAUACUGAAGAUGCUACCAUCGCAACGACGUCACUCUGAAGUUCUGGUCAUUUUUGGGCACCAAGGAAUUGAAAAUGGCCUGUAGAUCUGGUAUCCAUUCUCUCCAUCGGUGGGUAGUUCUGGUCAUUUUUAGGCAUCAGUGAAUCAAAUGGUGGUGGUCGUUUAAUCCCUAAUUUGUAUGGUAGAAAUGGUGGUUGUGGUGGUGACUGAUGGUAUCAUGGUGAUGAUAGUGGUUGUUGUGGCGACGAAUUGUGGUGGUGACUAAUGGUGGUGGUGGUUGUGAUCGUUGUGGUGACUGAUGGUGAUGGUGGUGGUGCUGCAACGACAAUGGUGCAAUUCUUUGGAUCCAGUUUUGUUGGGUAGUUGUCGUGCUGAGGUGAUGGUGGUGGUGUCGUUUAAUCCCUAAUUUGUGUGGUGGUGACUGAUGGUGAUGGUGGUCAUUGUAGUGGCUAAUGGUGAUGUCGUGAUGGUGGUGGUCACUGCGACAACGAUGGUGGCGACGAGGCUCUGGUGGCUGCGAUGCUCUGUUGUGGUGAUGAAUCUGUUGGUGUGUCGUGGUGUUGACAGGUUGUCAUGAGGUGGUGGUGGCGGUAAUAGUGAUAGUGAUGGUGGUUGUAGUGGUCGUAGCGAUGGUUGUGGGUGGAAUGAAAUGGGUUGGAUGUUUGUGAUCAAUUAUUUGGUUGAUUGUGAC